CAAUAGCGUAUAUUAAAGUUGUUGCAGUUAAAAAGCUCGUAGUUGGAUUUCUGGUAGGAGCGACCGUGUCGAACUUGAUUGUUCGAGUAUUGUGUUGUCUUCAGCCAUCCUCGUGGAGAACUUUUCUAACAUUAACUUGUUGGGAUUGGGACCCGCGUCGUUUACUGUGAAAAAAUUAGAGUGUUUAAAGCAGGCAUUAGCUUGAAUACAUUAGCAUGGAAUAAUAAGAUAGGACUUUGGUACUAUUUUGUUGGUUUGCAUACCAAAUUAAUGAUCAACGGGAACAGUUUGAGGAUAUUCGUAUGAACAUGUCAGAGGUGAAAUUCUUGGAUUUUGAUCAGACGAACUACUGCGAAAGCAUUUAUCAAGGAUGUUUUCAUUAA
rnacentral:rRNA from 1 species